UACGUAGGGGGCAAGCGUUAUCCGGAAAUCAUUGGGCGUAAAGCGCGUGUAGGCGGUUCCGUAAGUCCGCUCUGAAAGCCCAGGGCUCAACCCUGGGAGGCGGGUGGAUACUACGGAACUGGAGUACGGAAGAGGAGAUUGGAAUUCCUGGUGUAGCGGUGAAAAUGCGCAGAUAUCAGGAGGAACACCGGUGGCGAAGGCGGGGUCUCUGGGGCCGAUACUGACGCUGAGGAGCGAAAGCGUGGGGAGCGAACAGG
rnacentral:rRNA from 1 species